rnacentral:tRNA from 1 species
GCCCUCAUCGUCUAGCGGCCCAGGACGCGCCCUUUCAAGGCGGUAGCACGGGUUCGAAUCCCGUUGGGGGCA